UGGGGAAUAUUGCACAAUGGAGGGAACUCUGAUGCAGCGACGCCGCGUGAACGAAGAAGGCUUUCGAGUCGUAAAGUUCUUUUAUAUGGGAAGAUAAUGACGGUACCAUAAGAAAAAGCCCCGGCUAACUACGUGCCAGCAGCCGCGGUAAUACGUAGGGGGCUAGCGUUGUCCGGAAUCACCGGGCGUAAAGGGUUCGCAGGCGGAAAUGCAAGUCAGGUGUAAAAGGCAGUAGCUUAACUACUGUAAGCAUUUGAAACUGCAUAUCUUGAGAAGAGUAGAGGUAAGUGGAAUUUUUAGUGUAGCGGUGAAAUGCGUAGAUAUUAAAAAGAAUACCGGUGGCGAAGGCGACUUACUGGGCUCAUUCUGACGCUGAGGAACGAAAGCGUGGGUAGCAAACAGG
rnacentral:rRNA from 1 species